AAUAAUGCGUGAAUUAUUAAGUACUUGAUCAGUGCGGUGUUGCUCGCAAUCUCUAUCUAUUACGAAGCGACCUCGAGGUAUGGGAUAUCACGCAUGCGCAAGAAGGUCUUGUGGGUAGAGUCUCGUGGUCUCGUGAGAGCGAUAUCUCUGCAUGGUUAUCUCGCCAGUGCUUCUUGCAAUUAUAAGUCUCGUAUAACAUUAAAAAGAGAUAUAUUUCGUAAAUCGAGUGAGAAAUAUAGAAAAGGGGUGCACGCACGCACACACACACACACACACACUCAUCGCCACCGUUCCGGCCGGGACUCUCACGCGGGCAGACGCAGGUAGACGAGGGAAACGUGCUAUCACAGGAACACCCCUUGUUUCAAUUUUUGCAGCGCCAGUAUAGUAUUUGAUUAUUUCUUAUUGUAACUAUGAAUAACGCACGUAAAAUGAAACUUGUUUCUAAACGUCAUGGUAGACGAAUUAUUGCAAACAAUACUGAUAUAGAUAUUGCAGGGUGUCAUAAACAUGUUUCUAAUCAGUAUACUGACACUAUCUUUUCCAAGGAUUCUGGUAAUUUAGAUUCUUCUAAUUUAGAUUGUGAUGAUACUAUUACAGAAGUUGAUAUUUGUAAUAUACGUGGUACUAAAGAAGUAUUUAUUGGAUCUAAUACAUUCUCAGGAAAUCAGUUUCAAUAUAAUAAUAAUAUACAAACAAACAGUUCUAACUAUCAUAACUAUGUUAUAAAUGAAGUAAACGAGACUGAUAACAAUAAUGAACACGAAUUAAGAAAUGCAAUAGCUACAUGGGCAGUAUCUCAUAAUAUUACCCAAAACGCAUGUAAUGACUUAUUACAUAUUUUUCAUCGAUAUAUAUCAUAUAAUAUACCUACAGAUAUACGAACAUUAUUACGAACUCCAAAAAAAACUGACGUUUUAAAAACAUGUGGAGGAGAAUACUUUUAUACAGGUUUUCAAGAUAUUAAAAAACUGUUACGAAAAAAUGAUAAUACAUAUAUUAAUUUAAUUAUAAAUAUUGAUGGUCUUCCCUUAGCGAAAUCAUCACAAGCAUCGUUAUGGCCAAUUUUAUGUUCCAAUUCAGUCAAUACAGCAGUAUACCUAGUUGGUGCUUAUUUUGGAUAUCAAAAAUCUACUGAUCCUAAUGUCUUUUUGCAACCGGUUAUCGAUGACUUAAUUAAUCUUAUUAAUAAUGGUUAUAAUCAUAAAGGAAAGAUAAUAAAAAUAAAAUUAUUUGCUUUAAUAUGUGACGCACCUGCGAAAUCUUUCAUUUUAUGUAUAAAAGGUCACACCGGAUUUAAUAGUUGCACUAAAUGUUUAAUCAAAGGAAAAUAUAUAAACAAUAGAAUUUGUUUUCCACAUAAUAAAACUUAUCCUUUAAGAAAAGAUGAAUUAUUUGCUACUAAUACAUAUAAAGAUUUUCAGAUUAAUUAUUCUAUUUUAAAUAAUGUUCCAGAAUUUUUACCAUUAACUAAUACUCCACUAGAUUAUAUGCAUCUCAUAUGUUUAGGGGUUGUUAAAAAAAUGAUAAUUCUUUGGAUGAAGGGUCCAUUUUCUGUACGUUUAAAUACAAGGUCCAUUAUUAAAAUAUCACAUCUGUUAAUUGAAUUUAGAAAUACUACACCAAAUGAUUUCCCUAGAAGACCCAGAUCGUUAAAAGAAGUUAAAUACUGGAAAGCUGUUGAAUUUCGAAAUUUUUUAUUAUAUACAGGUCCUAUUGUAUUAAGAUACGUAUUAAGAAAAGACAUAUAUAUUCAUUUUGUGACUCUACAUGUUGCUGCAACAAUACUUUUGCGUCAAAAGGAAUGCCAAAAGGAAUUAAUAAAUUUUGCUGAAGCUUUAUUGGUUCACUUUGUUAAAUCGUUUCAAAUAAUAUACGGC